rnacentral:rRNA from 1 species
GACGAACGCUGGCGGCGUGCCUAAUACAUGCAAGUGGGACGCAAGAGAACACACUGUGCUCGCACACCGUGUUUUCUUGAGUCGCGAACGGGUGAGUAACGCGUAGGUAACCUGCCUAUUAGCGGGGGAUAACUAUUGGAAACGAUAGCUAAUACCGCAUAAUAUUAAUUAUUGCAUGAUAAUUGAUUGAAAGAUGCAAGCGCAUCACUAGUAGAUGGACCUGCGUUGUAUUAGCUAGUUGGUAAGGUAAGAGCUUACCAAGGCGACGAUACAUAGCCGACCUGAGAGGGUGAUCGGCCACACUGGGACUGAGACACGGCCCAGACUCCUACGGGAGGCAGCAGUAGGGAAUCUUCGGCAAUGGACGAAAGUCUGACCGAGCAACGCCGCGUGAGUGAAGAAGGUUUUCGGAUCGUAAAGCUCUGUUGUAAGUCAAGAACGUGUGUGAGAGUGGAAAGUUCACACAGAGACGUAGCUACCAGAA